rnacentral:rRNA from 1 species
GACGAACGCUGGCGGCGUGCCUAAUACAUGCAAGUAGAACGCACAGUUUAUACCGUAGCUUGCUACACCAUAGACUGUGAGUUGCGAACGGGUGAGUAACGCGUAGGUAACCUGCCUGGUAGCGGGGGAUAACUAUUGGAAACGAUAGCUAAUACCGCAUAAUAUUGAUUAUUGCAUGAUAAUUGAUUGAAAGAUGCUAUUGCAUCACUACCAGAUGGACCUGCGUUGUAUUAGCUAGUAGGUGAGGCAACGGCUCACCUAGGCGACGAUACAUAGCCGACCUGAGAGGGUGAUCGGCCACACUGGGACUGAGACACGGCCCAGACUCCUACGGGAGGCAGCAGUAGGGAAUCUUCGGCAAUGGACGAAAGUCUGACCGAGCAACGCCGCGUGAGUGAAGAAGGGUUUCGGAUCGUAAAGCUCUGUUGUAAGAGAAGAACGGGUGUGAGAGUGGAAAGUUCACACUGUGACGGUAGCUUACCAGAAAGGGACGGCUAACUACGUG